AACUAUGGCCAUGCCACCCUGAAUGUGCCCAAUCUCGUCUGAUCUCGGAAGCUAAGCAGGGUCUGGCCUGGUUAGUACUUGGAUGGGAGACCACCAAGGAAUACCAGGUGCUGAAAGCG
rnacentral:rRNA from 1 species